rnacentral:rRNA from 1 species
UACGAAGGGGGCUAGCGUUGUUCGGAAUUACUGGGCGUAAAGCGCACGUAGGCGGACUAUUAAGUCAGGGGUGAAAUCCCGGGGCUCAACCCCGGAACUGCCUUUGAUACUGGUAGUCUCGAGUCCGGAAGAGGGAAGUGGAAUUCCAGGUGUAGCGGUGAAAUGCGUAGAUAUCUGGAGGAACACCGGUGGCGAAAGCGAUUUCCUGGUCCGUUCCUGACGCUGAGGCUCGAAAGCUCGGGGAGCAAACAGG